AAACUUUCAACAACGGAUCUCUUGGCUCUGGCAUCGAUGAAGAACGCUGCGAAACGCGAUAAGUAAUGCGAAUUGCAGAAUUUAGUGAAUCAUCGAAUCUUUGAACGCACAUUGCGCCCGCCAGUAUUCUGGCGGGCAUGCCUGUCCGAGCGUCAUUA
rnacentral:rRNA from 1 species